rnacentral:rRNA from 1 species
GGUUAAGCGACUAAGCGUACACGGUGGAUGCCCUGGCAGUCAGAGGCGAUGAAGGGCGUGCUAAUCUGCGAUAAGCGCCGGUAAGGUGAUAUGAACCGUUAUAACCGGCGAUACCCGAAUGGGGAAACCCAGUGUGACUCGUCACACUAUCAUUAACUGAAUCCAUAGGUUAAUGAGGCGAACCGGGGGAACUGAAACAUCUAAGUACCCCGAGGAAAAGAAAUCAACCGAGAUUCCCCCAGUAGCGGCGAGCGAACGGGGAGGAGCCCAGAGCCUGAAUCAGCAUGUGUGUUAGUGGAAGCGUCUGGAAAGGCGCGCGAUACAGGGUGACAGCCCCGUACACAAAAGCGCAUGUGCUGUGAGCUCGAUGAGUAGGGCGGGACACGUGGUAUCCUGUCUGAAUAUGGGGGGACCAUCCUCCAAGGCUAAAUACUCCUGACUGACCGAUAGUGAACCAGUACCGUGAGGGAAAGGCGAAAAGAACCCCGGCGAGGGGAGUGAAAAAGAACCUGAAACCGUGUACGUACAAGCAGUGGGAGCACCCUUCGGGGUGUGACUGCGUACCUUUUGUAUAAUGGGUCAGCGACUUAUAUUCUGUAGCAAGGUUAACCGUAUAGGGGAGCCGGAGGGAAACCGAGUCUUAAUUGGGCGUUAAGUUGCAGGGUAUAGACCCGAAACCCGGUGAUCUAGCCAUGGGCAGGUUGAAGGUUGGGUAACACUAACUGGAGGACCGAACCGACUAAUGUUGAAAAAUUAGCGGAUGACCUGUGGCUGGGGGUGAAAGGCCAAUCAAACCGGGAGAUAGCUGGUUCUCCCCGAAAGCUAUUUAGGUAGCGCCUCGUGAAUUCAUCUCCGGGGGUAGAGCACUGUUUCGGCUAGGGGGCCAUCCCGGCUUACCAACCCGAUGCAAACUGCGAAUACCGGAGAAUGUUAUCACGGGAGACACACGGCGGGUGCUAACGUCCGUCGUGAAGAGGGAAACAACCCAGACCGCCAGCUAAGGUCCCAAAGUCAUGGUUAAGUGGGAAACGAUGUGGGAAGGCCCAGACAGCCAGGAUGUUGGCUUAGAAGCAGCCAUCAUUUAAAGAAAGCGUAAUAGCUCACUGGUCGAGUCGGCCUGCGCGGAAGAUGUAACGGGGCUAAACCAUGCACCGAAGCUGCGGCAGCGACACUGUGUGUUGUUGGGUAGGGGAGCGUUCUGUAAGCCUGUGAAGGUGUGUCGUGAGGCAUGCUGGAGGUAUCAGAAGUGCGAAUGCUGACAUAAGUAACGAUAAAGCGGGUGAAAAGCCCGCUCGCCGGAAGACCAAGGGUUCCUGUCCAACGUUAAUCGGGGCAGGGUGAGUCGACCCCUAAGGCGAGGCCGAAAGGCGUAGUCGAUGGGAAACGGGUUAAUAUUCCCGUACUUGGUGUUACUGCGAAGGGGGGACGGAGAAGGCUAUGUUGGCCGGGCGACGGUUGUCCCGGUUUAAGCGUGUAGGUGUGUGUUCCAGGUAAAUCCGGUUCACUUUAACACUGAGGCGUGAUGACGAGGCACUACGGUGCUGAAGCAACAAAUGCCCUGCUUCCAGGAAAAGCCUCUAAGCAUCAGGUAACAUCAAAUCGUACCCCAAACCGACACAGGUGGUCAGGUAGAGAAUACCAAGGCGCUUGAGAGAACUCGGGUGAAGGAACUAGGCAAAAUGGUGCCGUAACUUCGGGAGAAGGCACGCUGACACGUAGGUGAAGUGAUUUACUCAUGGAGCUGAAGUCAGUCGAAGAUACCAGCUGGCUGCAACUGUUUAUUAAAAACACAGCACUGUGCAAACACGAAAGUGGACGUAUACGGUGUGACGCCUGCCCGGUGCCGGAAGGUUAAUUGAUGGGGUCAGCGCAAGCGAAGCUCCUGAUCGAAGCCCCGGUAAACGGCGGCCGUAACUAUAACGGUCCUAAGGUAGCGAAAUUCCUUGUCGGGUAAGUUCCGACCUGCACGAAUGGCGUAAUGAUGGCCAGGCUGUCUCCACCCGAGACUCAGUGAAAUUGAACUCGCUGUGAAGAUGCAGUGUACCCGCGGCAAGACGGAAAGACCCCGUGAACCUUUACUAUAGCUUGACACUGAACAUUGAGCCUUGAUGUGUAGGAUAGGUGGGAGGCUUUGAAGCGUGGACGCCAGUCUGCGUGGAGCCGACCUUGAAAUACCACCCUUUAAUGUUUGAUGUUCUAACGUGGACCCGUGAUCCGGGUUGCGGACAGUGUCUGGUGGGUAGUUUGACUGGGGCGGUCUCCUCCUAAAGAGUAACGGAGGAGCACGAAGGUUGGCUAAUCCUGGUCGGACAUCAGGAGGUUAGUGCAAUGGCAUAAGCCAGCUUGACUGCGAGCGUGACGGCGCGAGCAGGUGCGAAAGCAGGUCAUAGUGAUCCGGUGGUUCUGAAUGGAAGGGCCAUCGCUCAACGGAUAAAAGGUACUCCGGGGAUAACAGGCUGAUACCGCCCAAGAGUUCAUAUCGACGGCGGUGUUUGGCACCUCGAUGUCGGCUCAUCACAUCCUGGGGCUGAAGUAGGUCCCAAGGGUAUGGCUGUUCGCCAUUUAAAGUGGUACGCGAGCUGGGUUUAGAACGUCGUGAGACAGUUCGGUCCCUAUCUGCCGUGGGCGCUGGAGAACUGAGGGGGGCUGCUCCUAGUACGAGAGGACCGGAGUGGACGCAUCACUGGUGUUCGGGUUGUCAUGCCAAUGGCACUGCCCGGUAGCUAAAUGCGGAAGAGAUAAGUGCUGAAAGCAUCUAAGCACGAAACUUGCCCCGAGAUGAGUUCUCCCUGAGACUUAAAGUCUCCUGAAGGAACGUUGAAGACGACGACGUUGAUAGGCCGGGUGUGUAAGCGCAGCGAUGCGUUGAGCUAACCGGUACUAAUGAACCGUGAGGCUUAACCUU